rnacentral:lncRNA from 1 species
GGCAAAGGUCCUCCUCAGGUAGUAGGCCUAAAAGCUGCUAUAACUCCUUGAUCCAUUGGUUGGAUCAAAGAGUUGGUGUUUGGAGGGAGAAACACUGCUUUGAUAUUGGGAUGAAGACCACCAAUAAAAGGAGGAUGCCUGGGAGCAUUAUCAACAAUAGGCAAAAUCUUGAAAGGCCCUGGGCUUCUCACUGUGCUAGAUGACAAAGGAUUUCCAUUUGUAGCCUGCAACAUUGCCCCCAAGAAAGACUGUUAUCCUGUCCUUAAAACCCUUGAAACUUGUCAUUGACUUGUCCUCCUCGUGGAUGAAAGUCCUUUCAGGCAUCCGUUUCCAGAAUCAAGAGGUUUCAUCCACAUUGAAUAUUUACUUUGGUCAAUCACUCAAUGUGGCCUCUCACUAGUAAGAUUAGCAGUGGAUUUUGUAUGCUUAGGGGCCAUGAUGAGAUUAAAUUAAGCACAAGAGAAAAUGAUGCAAUCAAGAGAUGUGGUAAACACGAGACGUAUGAGGCUGCCGCUGACGUAAUACAGCAUCCUGUUUUACAGUAAACUUUCUUUUUUGUGAAGAUGGUGAGGCCUCCAGGGGUUAAGUGAUUUGCCAAGAGAUGCAUAGCUGGCAGCAGAGCCAGGAUUAGAACUCAGUCUCCCGGUUGCUAAGUCUGCGUGUUCCUUAUCCUAGACACCCAUGGAAAAUGAUCCACAUCAACUCUAUACACACCAAAGCCUUUAGUUCGUUUCUUUGUACGUAGUAGGUCUCAGUAAAUAGACAGAGGAUGAAUGGUGCAUAUUACAGGCAAGAGAGACC